CCCACUUCUCAGUCUUCUGACUGAGAUCAAGUGUGGUAUCUGCUCUUACCAGUUUACUAUCUAGUCCAUCCUCCAUUUAAGGACAGUGGAUUAAGUGGAGCUUUGGACCUGGGAGAUGGAAUAGGAGCUCGCUCCAUUUACUCUGUGCUUUGACUUAGUAGACUUAGUAUUGCAGUAAGGGGGGAAAACAA